rnacentral:rRNA from 1 species
GGCUCAGGAUGAACGCUGGCGGCGUGCCUAACACAUGCAAGUCGAACGAAGCACUGUCGAUGGAGAUUCGUCAAAAUUGACUUUGACUUAGUGGCGGACGGGUGAGUAAUGCGUGAGCAACCUGCCUUUCAGAGGGGGACAACAGUUGGAAACGACUGCUAAUACCGCAUAAUGUAUUUAGGAGGCAUCUCCCGGAUACCAAAGGAGCAAUCCGCUGAAAGAUGGGCUCACGUCUGAUUAGCUAGUUGGUGAGGUAACGGCUCACCAAGGCUGCGAUCAGUAGCCGGACUGAGAGGUUGAACGGCCACAUUGGGACUGAGAUACGGCCCAGACUCCUACGGGAGGCAGCAGUGGGGAAUAUUGGGCAAUGGGCGAAAGCCUGACCCAGCAACGCCGCGUGAAGGAAGAAGGUCUUCGGAUUGUAAACUUCUUUUAUGAGGGACGAAGGACGUGACGGUACCUCAUGAAUAAGCCACGGCUAACUACGUGCC